AGGUGUGAGGGCGAGCUGGCUGUGACAUCUGUCACCCCACUAAUCACCAGGGUUGGUUUAACUGAUCUGGCUGGCUAGGUAGGUGCCCCUUUCCUCCCUCACCACUCCAUGUGUGUCCCUCUCAAAGCUGUGCACUUGGUCUAAGACGAUGACCACCCCCAAUAGAGGAGGACCAUUUUCCCCAACAAGGGUGUAAGAGCAGCUGUGCUCCCCUGCUCAAACCUCCCAACAGACUCUCACAAGUUUGACCCCAGCCUGAGCAACUCAGCAAGCCCUGUCUCAAAAAUAAUAAUAAAAUUUUAAAAAGGGCUGGGGAAUGGGACUAUUGCUCAGUAUGAAGGCCCUGGGUU
ensembl:misc_RNA 7SK 7SK RNA